rnacentral:lncRNA from 1 species
AACAGAAAAUUAUUUAUUUUUUUUCUAAUAAACAGCAAUUUCUAGCACAGAGCAAGCAAGCAUUUUCACUGAGCUCAGCAAGCAAAGCCCACGAUCUGCCUGUUCCUGCUAUAAUGCUGAUGCUCUUAAGCUUAACGUCCUCCCUGCCCCUCAAUGCUGGCCCAGCAGAAAUACCUGCACACGCAGCAUCCUGCACAUUUUGGCAUUCCUACAGGAUUUGUGCUCAUCUUUUUCACUCCACAAAGAACGUGCGUGUCUCCAACUUCCUCUCCUUGCACAGCCCCUCUUCCAACCCUCGCCUAAGCUGUGGAUACAGUGGUUCAGAGGAGCUGGAUCUGGUUUAGCUAAGCUAAGCCCACACUCCAGCACAAACAAGACAAGCUCUAUUUACUAUUAUUAUUAUUAUUGGAGAAAUCCUACCAUGCUAUAGCCCAGACUCCACAUGAGCAACCUAUAGUUCAGCCAGUCCUGCAAGUCCCUCUAGUCCAAAGGAGCGCUGCUCAUACCUGCUCAGCCGGUGAGACUGCUGCCACUUUUCCUGCAAGGAGGUCCAUAAACAAGAGCCAGAGGCUGUGCACAAUCCAGGCAUUCAUCCAGGAUCCUGCACAUCCUGGGAGUAAGACUGUCCUGCAUAGAAAGUGCAGCCUCAGUACUCAGGGACAAGGUUGCUUGGCUUUGUAAUGCAGCCGGCACAGAAGCAGGGACAUCCCAGCUGAACAUCUUGGUCUUCACCCCUCUGGGAGAGGAUGGCCACAGCUGCAGGAACAGAGGCUGCUCUGGCUCCUGGGGUGAGGACAGACUGCAAAGGUGAUGAUGGCACAUCUGCCGGCGCGCUCGCAGCCGCUGAGAUAAAGACUUGCACAAAGAACACAGCAAGAAGCGUGGUUGUACUUCAUUGCACAAAUGAUCGACUCCAGUGCAUAAUGGGCUGCUUCCAUUGCUCUGCCAGCAGGUGCAAUUCCCACUGCAGACAAUAACAUUUGCCUAUUUAUGUCAAGCCCUGAUUACUGUAUUAUAUGUAAAACAGAUCUUUCUUGCAAGCCAAACAAGGGGGAGAAGAAAAAAAAAAAAAGAAAAGAAAA